rnacentral:rRNA from 1 species
AUUGAACGCUGGCGGCAGGCUUAACACAUGCAAGUCGAGCGGCUGCGGGGGGUUUGCCCCUGGAUUCAGCGGCGGACGGGUGAGUAAUGCCUCGGAAUCUGCCUGGUAGUGGGGGAUAACGUCCGGAAACGGGCGCUAAUACCGCAUACGUCCUGAGGGAGAAAGCGGGGGGUCUUCGGACCUCACGCUAUCAGAUGAGCCUAGGUCGGAUUAGCUAGUUGGUGGGGUAAAGGCCUACCAAGGCGACGAUCCGUAACUGGUCUGAGAGGAUGAUCAGUCACACUGGAACUGAGACACGGUCCAGACUCCUACGGGAGGCAGCAGUGGGGAAUAUUGGACAAUGGGCGCAAGCCUGAUCCAGCCAUGCCGCGUGUGUGAAGAAGGUCUUCGGAUUGUAAAGCACUUUUAGUUGGGAAGAAGGGCAGUAAGUUAAUACCUCGCUGUUUUGACGGUACCAACAGAAUAAGCACCGGCUAACUACGUG